rnacentral:rRNA from 1 species
ACGGAGGGUGCGAGCGUUGUCCGGAAUCAUUGGGCGUAAAGGGCGCGUAGGUGGCUUCUUAAGCGUGCGGUGAAAGCCUGGGGCUCAACCCCGGGUCGGCCGUGGCAACUGUCGAGCUGGAGCACUGUAGAGGCAGGUGGAAUUCCGGGUGUAGCGGUGGAAUGCGUAGAGAUCCGGAAGAACACCGGUGGCGAAGGCGGCCUGCUGGGCAGUGGCUGACGCUGAGGCGCGACAGCGUGGGGAGCAAACAGGA